GGAGCCGAGCAGAACGUCUGCACAGACUGCGCCCGGAGAAGGCGUGGAGACUCAGCGUUGGACGGGGGUUCGAUUCCCCCCAGCUCCACCA
rnacentral:tRNA from 2 species